AAACCAACCGGGAUUGCCUUAGUAACGGCGAGUGAAGCGGCAAAAGCUCAAAUUUGAAAUCUGGUACCUUCGGUGCCCGAGUUGUAAUUUGGAGAGGGCAACUUUGAGGCCGUUCCUUGUCUAUGUUCCUUGGAACAGGACGUCAUAGAGGGUGAGAAUCCCGUGUGGCGAGGAGUGCGGUUCUUUGUAAAGUGCCUUCGAAGAGUCGAGUUGUUUGGGAAUGCAGCUCUAAGUGGGUGGUAAAUUCCAUCUAAAGCUAAAUAUUGGCGAGAGACCGAUAGCGAACAAGUACAGUGAUGGAAAGAUGAAAAGAACUUUGAAAAGAGAGUGAAAAAGUACGUGAAAUUGUUGAAAGGGAAGGGCAUUUGAUCAGACAUGGUGUUUUGUGCCCUCUGCUCCUUGUGGGUAGGGGAAUCUCGCAUUUCACUGGGCCAGCAUCAGUUUUGGUGGCAGGAUAAAUCCAUAGGAAUGUAGCUUGCCUCGGUAAGUAUUAUAGCCUGUGGGAAUACUGCCAGCUGGGACUGAGGACUGCGACGUAAGUCAAGGAUGCUGGCAUAAUGGUUAUAUGCCGC
rnacentral:rRNA from 1 species